rnacentral:rRNA from 1 species
GACGAACGCUGGCGGCGUGCUUAACACAUGCAAGUCGAACGGAAAGGCCCUGCUUUUGUGGGGCGCUCGAGUGGCAAACGGGUGAGUAACGCGUGAGUAACCUGCCCUUGACUUUGGUAUGACUUCAGGAAACUGGGGCUAAUCCCGGAUAGGAGAUCCUGCUGCAUGGUGGGGGUUGGAAAGUUUGGGCGGUUGGGGGUGGACUCGCGGCUUAUUUGCGUGUUGGUGGGGUAGUGGCUUAGCAAGGCAUUGGCGGGUAGCCGGCCUGAGAGGGUGCCCGGCCAUAUUGGGACUGAGAUACCGCCCAGACUCCUACGGGAGAGAGCUGGGGGGAAUAGUGCACAAUGGGCGAGAGCCUUAUGCAGCAACGCCGCGGGCGGGAUAGCGCCCCUCGUUUUGUAAUCCGUUCGCUCCUGUGACGAAUCUGGAGUGACGGUAAUUGGUAAAGAAGCACCGGCUAACUACGUG